UCAAGUGAACGAAGGGUGUAUGGUGGAUGCCUUGGCAUCAGUCGCCGAUGAAGGACGUGGUUGGCUGCGAUAAGCCACGGGGAGCUGCUAAACAAGCGUUGAUCCGCGGAUGUCCGAAUGGGGAAACCCACCUACCGUAAUGGGUAGGUACUCCUGUCUGAACACAUAGGACGGGUAGAGGUAAGCAAGGGAAGUGAAACAUCUCAGUACCUUGAGUAAAAGAAAGAAAAAUCGAUUCCCAAAGUAGCGGCGAGCGAAAUGGGAACAGCCCAAACCUUUACAGUGUAAGGCCGUAGCCGUUGCUGUGAGGGUGUUGUAGGGCGGUUUGUCCAGUUGUUACGGAGACUGGCAACAGAUACAAGGACACAGAUAGCGGAAUCAGCUGGAAAGCUGUACCACAGAGGGUAAUGGUCCCGUACGCGAAAUCUGCUGUCACUGUUGAUGACCGAUCCUGAGUAGCACCGGGCACGUGAAACCCGGUGUGAACCCGCGGGGACCAUCCCGCAAGGCUAAACACGACUGAUGACCGAUAGUGAACAAGUACCGUGAGGGAAAGGUGAAAAGCACCCCGGUGAGGGGAGUGAAAUAGAACCUGAAACCGUGCACCUACAAGCAGUCGGAGCCUCUAUAUGGGGUGACGGCGUACUUUUUGCAUAACGGGCCAGGGAGUUACUCUUCAGCGGCAAGGUUAAGGAAACGGAGCCGUAGCGAAAGCGAGUCUGAAUAGGGCGUCUAAGUCGUUGGAGGUAGACCCGAAGCCGGGUGAUCUAUCCAUGGACAGGCUGAAUCGGGGGUAAGACCUCGUGGAGGGCCGAACCCACUUCUGUUGAAAAAGGAGGGGAUGAUCUGUGGAUCGGAGUGAAAGGCUAAUCAAACCCGGUGAUAUCUGGUUCUCGCCGAAAUAUAUUUAGGUAUAGCCUCAGGCGUUCCCAAUUGGCGGUAGAGCACUGUUUGGUUUAGGGGCCUUACCAGGUUACCGACAUCAGAUAAACUCCGAACACCAAUUGGCUAGAGCCUGGGAGUCAGACUGUGGGGGAUAAGCUUCAUGGUCGAAAGGGAAACAACCCAGACCAUCAGCUAAGGUCCCUAAAUCUGUACUAAGUGGCAAACGAUGUUCGAAUGCACAGACAACCAGGAGGUUGGCUUAGAGGCAGCCAUUCCUUUAAAGAGUGCGUAACAGCUCACUGGUCAAGUGUUCGUGCGCGGAUAAUGUAACGGGGCUCAAGUACAGUACCGAAGCUAUGGAUUCGCAUCCUUACGGAUGUGAGUGGUAGGCGAGCGUUCCCAGGGCAGUGAAGCAGUAUCCGCGAGGUGCUGUGGAGCGUUGGGAAGUGAGAAUCCUGGCAUGAGUAACGAGAGAUGGGUGAAAAACCCAUCCGCCGAAAGCCUAAGGGUUCCUGAGUAAAGCUAAUCUGCUCAGGGUUAGUCGGGACCUAAGCCGAGGCCGCAAGGCGUAGGCGAUGGACAACAGGUUAAUAUUCCUGUACCGGCAGUGGCGUGUAUCCACUUGAGGAGUGACGGAGCAAGAGAACCCAACCCGGGAUCUGAACAGACCGGGCCAAGCGUGUGGCGUGUCAGUAGGCAAAUCCGCUGGCGUAUACGUGAGACGCGAUGGCGACCCGUUUAGGGGAAGUGGGUGUAUCUAUACUUCCAAGAAAAUCUUCGUAAGUGGCGUCAAGGCCGCCCGUACCAAAACCGACACAGGUAGGCGGGUAGAGAAUACUCAGGCGAUCGAGAGAACAGUGGUUAAGGAACUCGGCAAAAUGGCCUCGUAACUUCGGAAGAAGAGGCGCCCCGGUAGGGUGAAGGGCUUUGCGCCCGUAAGCCCGAGGGGGCCGCAGUGACUCGGCCCAAGCGACUGUUUACCAAAAACACAGGUCUCUGCAUAAGUCGAAAGACGACGUAUAGGGGCUGACGCCUGCCCGGUGCCGGAAGGUCAAGAGGAGAGGUUAGCUUCGGCGAAGCUUUGAAUCUAAGCCCCGGUAAACGGCGGCGGUAACUAUAACCGUCCUAAGGUAGCGAAAUUCCUUGUCGGGUAAGUUCCGACCUGCACGAAUGGCGUAACGACUUGGGCGCUGUCUCAACCACUGACUCGGUGAAAUUGUAGUCCCGGUGAAGAUGCCGGGUAGUCGCAGCUAGACGGAAAGACCCCGUGAACCUUUACUACAGCUUGGCAUUGACGUCUGGGCUAUCCUGUCUAGGAUAGGUCGGAGACUUUGAAACCCUCGCGCCAGCGUGGGUGGAGUCACCCUUGGAAUACGACCCUGGGUGGUUUGGGCUUCUAACCUGAUGCCGUUAUCCGGCUCGGGAACAGUGCCAGGUGGGUAGUUUGACUGGGGCGGUCGCCUCCCAAAAUGUAACGGAGGCGUGCAAAGGUCAGCUCAGCACGGUCGGAAAUCGUGCGUAGAGUGUAAAGGCAGAAGCUGGCUUGACUGCGAGACCUACAAGUCGAGCAGGUACGAAAGUAGGCCUUAGUGAUCCGGCAGUGGAGAAUGGAAUUGCUGUCGCUCAACGGAUAAAAGGUACUCCGGGGAUAACAGGCUCAUCCUUCCCAAGAGUCCACAUCGACGGAAGGGUUUGGCACCUCGAUGUCGGCUCGUCGCAUCCUGGGGCUGUAGCAGGUCCCAAGGGUUGGGCUGUUCGCCCAUUAAAGCGGCACGCGAGCUGGGUUCAGAACGUCGUGAGACAGUUCGGUCCCUAUCUGCUGUGACCGUUGGACCAUUGAAGGAAUUCGUCCCUAGUACGAGAGGACCGGGAUGAACAGACCGCUGGUGUACCAGUUGUCCUAUCAAGGGCAUCGCUGGAUAGCUACGUCUGGAUCGGAUAACCGCUGAAAGCAUCUAAGCGGGAAGCCGGCCCUGAGAUGAAUGGUCCCUGAAGAGCCGUGGAAGACCACCACGUUGAUAGGCUGCACGUGUAAGGAACGCGAGUUCCUCAGCUGAGCAGUACUAAUCGCUCGUUCGAGCUUGAAAU
rnacentral:rRNA from 1 species